rnacentral:rRNA from 1 species
AUGAACGCUGGCGGCGUGCCUAAUACAUGCAAGUCGAGCGAACGGACGAGAAGCUUGCUUUUCUGAUGUUAGCGGCGGACGGGUGCGUAACACGUGGAUAACCUACCUAUAAGACUGGGAUAACUUCGGGAAACCGGAGCUAAUACCGGAUAAUAUUUUGAACCGCAUGGUUCAAAAGUGAAAGACGGUCUUGCUGUCACUUAUAGAUGGAUCCGCGCUGCAUUAGCUAGUUGGUAAGGUAACGGCUUACCAAGGCAACGAUGCAUAGCCGACCUGAGAGGGUGAUCGGCCACACUGGAACUGAGACACGGUCCAGACUCCUACGGGAGGCAGCAGUAGGGAAUCUUCCGCAAUGGGCGAAAGCCUGACGGAGCAACGCCGCGUGAGUGAUGAAGGUCUUCGGAUCGUAAAACUCUGUUAUUAGGGAAGAACAUAUGUGUAAGUAACUGUGCACAUCUUGACGGUACCUAAUCAGAAAGCCACGGCUAACUACGUG